rnacentral:rRNA from 1 species
UACGUAGGGGGCAAGCGUUGUCCGGAAUCAUUGGGCGUAAAGCGGGUGCAGGUGGCUAUGUAAGUCAGGUGUGAAAGCCUAGGGCUCAACCCUAGAAGUGCAUUUGAUACUGCGUAGCUUGAGUGGUAGAGAGGAUAGUAGAAUUCUUGGUGUAGUGGUGAAAUACGUAGAUAUCAAGAGGAAUACCGGAGGCGAAGGCGGCUAUCUGGCUACACACUGACACUCAGACCCGAAAGUGCGGGGAUCAAACAGG